rnacentral:misc_RNA from 1 species
UUUUAAACCGGGUGUUAUGUAAUCUUUUUGAGCUACUGUUAUAUUAAUGACUAACUUUUAAGGUUGUAACCAAUAAGAAUACUUUAUCUUCCCUGAGAAGCUAAUGUUUCUGAAAAUUAGAUUAUUGUUCUUUAAUUCAAUAAUUAAUUAAAAUUGCUGUUACGUAUUCACUAUAUCGUAGACUUGAUUUUUAAAUAUCUGUAAACUAUCUAAUGUGACUAUUACAUGGAUGAUGCAUUUUGAAUAUUUUGACCUGUAUGCAAUAUACUGUUAUGCUGUUGUUUAGUGUUCUGAA